UACGAAGGGGGCUAGCGUUGUUCGGAAUUACUGGGCGUAAAGAGCGCGCAGGCGGUCGUUCAAGUCGCGUGUGAAAGCCCCCCGGCUCAACUGGGGAGGGUCACGCGAUACUGAUCGACUCGAAGGCAGGAGAGGGAAGUGGAAUUCCCGGUGUAGUGGUGAAAUGCGUAGAUAUCGGGAGGAACACCAGUGGCGAAGGCGACUUCCUGGCCUGUUCUUGACGCUGAGGCGCGAAAGCUAGGGGAGCAAACGGGG
rnacentral:rRNA from 1 species